GCGGACGUGGCGAAACUGGUAGACGCAAGAGACUUAAAAUCUCUCAGCCUUAGGCUAUGCGGGUUCGAUCCCCGCCGUCCGCACGA
rnacentral:tRNA from 1 species